rnacentral:rRNA from 1 species
CCAGACUCCUACGGGAGGCAGCAGUGGGGAAUAUUGCACAAUGGGCGCAAGCCUGAUGCAGCCAUGCCGCGUGUAUGAAGAAGGCCUUCGGGUUGUAAAGUACUUUCAGCGGGGAGGAAGGCGAUAAGGUUAAUAACCUUGUCGAUUGACGUUACCCGCAGAAGAAGCACCGGCUAACUCCGUGCCAGCAGCCGCGGUAAUACGGAGGGUGCAAGCGUUAAUCGGAAUUACUGGGCGUAAAGCGCACGCAGGCGGUCUGUCAAGUCGGAUGUGAAAUCCCCGGGCUCAGCCUGGGAACUGCAUUCGAAACUGGCAGGCUGGCGUCUUGUAGAGGGGGGUAGCAUUCCAGGUGUCGCGGUGAAAUGCGUAGAGAUCUGGAGGCCUACCGGUGGCGCGGGCGGCCCCCUGGCCCACGACUGACGCUCAGGUGCGCCCGCGUGGGGAGCAAACGGGAUUAGAUACCCUGGUAU